rnacentral:rRNA from 1 species
GAUGAACGCUAGCUACAGGCUUAACACGUGCAAGUCGAGGGGAAACGGCAUUGAGUGCUUGCACUCUUUGGACGUCGACCGGCGCACGGGUGAGUAACGCGUAUCCAACCUUCCCAUUACUGUGGGAUAACCUGCCGAAAGGCAGACUAAUACCGCAUAGUCUUCGAUGACGGCAUCAGAUUUGAAGUAAAGAUUUAUCGGUAAUGGAUGGGGAUGCGUCUGAUUAGCUUGUUGGCGGGGUAACGGCCCACCAAGGCUACGAUCAGUAGGGGUUCUGAGAGGAAGGUCCCCCACAUUGGAACUGAGACACGGUCCAAACUCCUACGGGAGGCAGCAGUGAGGAAUAUUGGUCAAUGGACGGAAGUCUGAACCAGCCAAGUAGCGUGCAGGAUGACGGCCCUAUGGGUUGUAAACUGCUUUUGUAUGGGGAUAAGGUUAGGGACGUGUCCCUAUUUGCAGGUACCAUACGAAUAAGGACCGGCUAAUUCCGUG